CGCCAUUUUCGUCUGUCCAAUUUCUUGUUUGUGCUUGACCCCACGUCUACAGCUUGUUUGACCUACAGAAAGAUUUAUACUCGGUAUUUUUGAUCUGGUUUUUUUUUUCUAAUGACUUCCUCGACAUAAGCAACUGCAGAUCUAAACUCUCGGACGGUGAAACAUGUGAUCCAGGCUGUACAUUUUUGUGGGAUAGUCGUGAUCUGGUCGUCCGUUUUCUUCUGUCUACCGGAUUUCUUUACCAUUAUAUGUCCUAUACCGUUUGAGGGAGUUCUGGCUGUGGUUGCAGGACGUCUGGUUAGUGAGCAGGCGUCAGACCCAGACAAAGGGGUCCCUUCUCAACAGCAUUCGAAUGAACAUCUGACGCACCCGCAAGGGUCAAUGUGCACAUACAGUACACUGGGACUACUGUUGACAGACUUUUGGCGUCUCGUGUGAAUGAUUGGGCUGUUUGGUCCCUUGCCGCGGAUUUCCAGUGCGUGCGAACAGCGAGACGCGCUGCAAGCAGAGUCUGGCGACAAACGGAGGCCUGAUUGCAGGAGUGGCACAAAUUGCAGGAUUAGCAGCUGUAUGGUGACAGGACCGUCAACCGCUUCGCCUACAUCUGGUUCUAGGUAUGUCGCGCCCCAGGAUAAUAAUUGGCGGUGGCAGCAACAAACAAGGCAAGGUCAGCUCUCUGGCUUUUCCUCCACGCCAGCAACGCAACCUGAUACUGAGAUGCAAGGAGAAAUGCUUGUAUUAGCCCAUAUCUUCCAAACUAAGAUGAAUAAAGUGAAGAUAGAGACCGAACACCUUCUGUCGAAUCAGCACCCCGAUGCAUAUCACGAAUAGCGACUUGCCGACGAGUGGGCGUCUCUUGAAUGGUUCAGGCCAUACAAUAUGCGCGGAGGAGGACCUAUUGAUAAACUAUUAUUACUCCAUGCGACGAGCCACAGUUGCCUUAUCGCAAUUGAAGGCCAAACGAUCGGUGGAGAUUACCCAGAAUUAUUGUGAUUACCAGUGAGAGGCCUGCUACCGGCUGGGUGUGUUUGCUUGCCCAAGGUAGACCCACCCGGAAGAUGGUCCGCGCAAGUUACCCCUACCCCUGGGGAAAGUAUACAAACUUGGGCAUGACAAGAAGGGCAAGCCGGCUUUAGAUGCAGGAAUCGCCCUAUGCUACGACAACGGAUCAGUUCACUUCGGUGCAAACUCCGCACUGGUGUCGUCUGCUACAAACUGACGAACGUUUGGCGGGUGAAAUCUACACCCAGGAAAUGAGCGCAAGCAUCAAUUAUCACCACAGCAGAAGGUUACGCUAUGCCGGCAAGCGGGUACAGAGCUAGUGACGCCACAGAGCCACCAGGUGCGGGGGAAAAAACAGAAAAAACUGCACGCUUGUUGCUCCUUCAUCAACACCCUUCUCCAAACAUUCAACCCAUCCUUUUCCGCCCCUUCCAGCCCUCCCGACAUGGCUCCAACAUGUUCCGACAUGUGCACAAAUACGAGAAGUGGUCGCAAAACUUGUCGUUCCACACGAAGAAGAAAUCAAAUUCUCCAGACAAACACUUUUCCACUCCCGAGUGCCCGCUCAGACGGAAGGUUUGCGCAGUAGUCUGCGCAGGCCCGCGCGCAGUCGAGCAGAGAGAAGAGAAAUACACAGGUGACUGUUUGUGUAUGUUGAGCACGUGCGACCCCGACUUUAAAAAAAAGAUUGAAUUCAAACAGGGAACUAAAAAUAAUCUUCAACAUUUUCUCGGCUUCUUUUUUGCCUCUGUCCCUCUUAUCCCUCUCCUGUCUGUCAGUCGGAUUGUUGGUCGAUCUGUCCGAUCAUAAGUAGAUUUGUACGUCGCUGUUUGACAAUUCUACUACAUAUUGUCUCGUGAUCGUUGUUAAAGGUGAUAACUGUUGGUCAUUUAAAUUCGAAAUUAGCUCGCAGGCCAUAAAAUUUAUCAAGCACCCAGUUCAAAGAAAAAAAUAUCCUCUAUUUCUUGUCCAUUGCUGUAUAGAAAAGAGCGAGCGGACUGGACAAUGCUCGGGUAGAGAGGUGAGGCGAGAUGUGGUGCUUGAUAAAGGAAAAUAUAAUUAUCUUAACAAAUGAACACAUGGUGUUUCACUGGUCACAGAGGUGUUUUUCACCCUGUUUUCAAGAAGAGAUCCGAGUGUAAGCAUGCGAACAAUAAUUGCAGAAUUGGCGUGAUACAUUUGCCGUGCAUGAGCGCGUGUCUGCUGACUGCUGCGCGCUCAGCUGAUUAAACGAGUGAAAGCACACAAUUUCUUAAGUAACGCCGGACGUGUGAUUGGAAGAAGAGGAGAUUCUGGGGGUAGUUACUGACUAUUUUUGUUAUCACAGACGUGUAGUUCUGACAGAAUUAAAAG
rnacentral:lncRNA from 1 species